rnacentral:rRNA from 1 species
AGAGUUUGAUCCUGGCUCAGAUUGAACGCUGGCGGUAUGCCUAACACAUGCAAGUCGAACGAGGUAGCAAUACCUAGUGGCGGACGGGUGAGGAAUACGUAGGGAUCUGCCUUUAAGUGGGGGAUAACCCGGGGAAACCCGGAUUAAUACCGCAUGAUCUCGCAAGAGCAAAGAGGGGGACCGCAAGGCCUCUCGCUUUUAGAGGAACCUACGUCGGAUUAGCUAGUUGGUGAGGUAAUGGCUCACCAAGGCGACGAUCCGUAACUGGUCUGAGAGGAUGAUCAGUCACACCGGAACUGAGACACGGUCCGGACUCCUACGGGAGGCAGCAGUGGGGAAUAUUGGACAAUGGGCGAAAGCCUGAUCCAGCAAUACCGCGUGUGUGAAGAAGGCCUUCGGG